GCCAGCACACCGCUGACCGAGGGUGGAGGGCUUGUAGUCAGUCUGCAACGCCAUCCCUGGUCAGUGUGACAUAUGAGUGUGGAGGAGUCUACCGAUUAAUUGCUCCGGCUAAUAUUCCCGAAGUAGUUGAUGCGACAAAGCAACGAGAAAUGUCUACUUUUGUCGUGUUUAUGAGGGCCCAUAUCAUUUUUGUCUGUCUUGCCACCGACAUCAUGUCAUCUUCAUACCCUAGAGGUUUUACUUGCCAGUAACAACAAGCUUAUCUCAGUGCCAGAAGAAAUAGGAAAAGUAGAAAAGCUCAAUGACUUGAAAUGUGUACCUUCAACCUCAGGGAGCAGAGUGAGGGAUGGACCUCCAGAAAAGAAUCACACAUGAAGCUUAUCAUGAGCAGACCGUAGAACACAUGGAGGCGCACCACCUCCCA